rnacentral:lncRNA from 1 species
UGUUGAUUAGUGCUUGAUCUCUGCAAAUUUACAUAGUUUGACUGUUUAAGAAAUUAUUGUUUUGAUAUGCCUAUAAUAGAACAGAGCCAACUCAUUUAUCAGUGAACCUGUUGAAACUAUGACAAACUUAUCAAAAAGACUGCUAAGACAUUUGAGACUUGGAACUUUUCAGAAUAAUGUAAACUGAACAGGGCCUAUCCUACAUCAAUCUAUAAGAUAAAGCUACCAAUUAACUCAAAAAGAAUCCUAGAGAAAAUGAAGCAAAUAUGCUUAAAAUCAGUAAUAACAGAUGCAAAAAUGGAGGCACUUUAAAAUCAUCAACCAAAUGAAGCAACAACAUAACCUACUUAUACAACAAAAUGACACCUUGAUUACAACUUAUCUGAUCCAAGCUAAUGUCAAAGAAAAAAGCUAUAAAGACAAACCUAAGAAAGAUAUAUAUAAGAAAGUUAAAAUAGAUUUUUAACCAGCAGCUAUCCAAAUCAACCAGGAUAUCCCAAGACUCUAGCCAAGCAGUAAUAAUCGUAGGGAACAUUGAAUUAUCAAUGUAUGUAGAGCAGUUAUUAAAGAAAUGUCCCUCAUGUGCUUUAAGAACCACUACUGCAGUCCUAGAUGAAGUACCACUUAUAGAAGAUAUCCACCCUUCUAUAGAUGACCUUGAAAAAAGAAAGAUUAAGAUGGUCUUAUCAUAACCAAAAAUUUAGCAGAAGAACUAUUAAAAAAGAUCAGAAAAAUAUCCAAGAUACAUACCUCCUUAAGAGAAUGCUGAUAAGGAUGAAGCAUAACAACUAUACCAUAAUGAGGGAAGAUAAGACAUGUAAGAUGAUUCUUUUAAACAGAACAACCUGUGACAAAUUCUUGGAAACUUACAUCUCCCAAACAAAUGCUGAACCACUACUGUAAGACCCAACUAAGAAGUUAGCUCAUAAAGUUGAAACUAUCAUUAAGCUUAACACAAAUCUGGAAACCUAAGAAAAUUAAUGCACCC